rnacentral:rRNA from 1 species
ACUCCUACGGGAGGCAGCAGUGAGGAAUAUUGCACAAUGGGCGCAAGCCUGAUGCAGCGACGCCGCGUGAGUGAAGAAGGCCUUCGGGUCGUAAAGCUCUUUUCUGCGUGACGAGCAAGGACGGUAGCGCAGGAAUAAGUCUCGGCUAACUACGUGCCAGCAGCCGCGGUAAAACGUAGGAGACAAACGUUAUCCGGAGUUACUGGGCGUAAAGGGCGUGUAGGCGGUUUGUUAAGUCUGGCGUGAAAGCUCUCGGCUAAACCGGGAGAGGUCGUUGGAUACUGGCAAACUAGAGGACGGUAGAGGCGUGUGGAAUUCCGGGUGUAGUGGUGAAAUGCGUAGAGAUCCGGAGGAACACCAGUGGCGAAGGCGACACGCUGGGCCGUACCUGACGCUAAAGCGCGACAGCAUGGGGAGCAAACGGGAUUAGAAACCCCGGUAGUCCAUGCCGUAAACGAUGCCAGCUAGGUGUUCAAGACGCGCAAGCGGCUGGGGUACCGAAGCAAACGCGAUAAGCUGGCCGCCUGGGGAGUACGGUCGCAAGGCUAAAACUUAAAGGAAUU